rnacentral:misc_RNA from 1 species
CUCACACCGACGACCUUCGUUCAUGUUCUCGUUAGGGGCCAAGUCGACCUCGAUGGGGAGAUCAACAAGUGCGAGAAGAAGCUGGCGUUGGCGAAGAUGAACCUGUCGAAAAUCGAGAAGUUCGAGUCGCAGGCGGACUACGAGACCACCGUCCCUGAGAAUGUCCGUUUGGCCAACGAUGAGAAGAGGAAAACGUACGAGGCUGAUAUCAAGCUGCUGG